CUGUCACCCUUGGGUGACAAGAGGCUCUGCCGCUUGGAAAUCUAUAAACAGAAUGAUGGUUCUGCAUGGCAGCCAUUUAAAUAGUUGAACCCAGCAACUGUAUCUCCCUUUCCCUCCCUGGAGGCCAACAUCUCCGGUUUCUACAAAUGUGUCCAUGUGGCAUGGUGCUCAAGACCUCCUUGUCCCUCUCUGGGUUCCUAGAACUGAACAGGUACUACAAGAGGUGUGAACUUCAUCAAGCGCAGAGGGACAUUCACCUCUUGUGGCCAGAUCAGUGGAUUGCAAUAUGGCGGCCAUCAGAAUCAGCCCUGGGGGCCAACCUGGGGCUUCUGGGGUAACCGGUCUUGGGAGCAGGCACCUCCCAUGAUCCCAACGUGCAGCUUUAUCAGCCCAGCUCGUGGAUGGCUCCUCUGAGUUUACUGUUGAUGAAAUCGCCCUGGCCAGUACUUGAAGUGUAAGCUGCAGUUGUUGUGUCUUUAUUUUGUAAUUUUGCAAUUGAUUGAUUGGACUAUAGGAGGUUUUUUUGGGGUGUCUUCUCAGAACAACUGUCCCUCCUCACUGCCUGAUAUGGUAGUGGAUUUGACCACGCUGGGGGCCCAUGGGUGAGCUGGUCAGAGGCCCAAGAUGCAUGUGGCAGUGCUGAGAAGGACAAGUGAAGUCACUCCAACCCCUUCUCUUAGGAUUUGUAACAGGGUGUCUGGUGGUGGGUCUUGGAGCUGGGAGUUCACAUAGAUGCUGGUAGCCAUUUGAGGCCUUGUGCAAAAUGGAUAAACAGAAAAAUCCACAGGGUUGGCCAUUUUAGUGGUCAGUAUGGUGGCAAAAGUAAUAUGCAUGUGUAAUAUUGUGUGACAUAAUGAAAAAUCAUUGUUUCAAAUGUAUUCGCUGACAUUUGUCAUUAAUAGCUGCACUUGGAAAUUUUUUCAUGUCCUUUACAGUGGUUUCAAAAAAGUUCUUUUUAAACUGGUAUCUAUGGCCUUGGGAUUUAUGUAUCCACUCUUAUUAAUCUGUGCAUCACAUAAGUGCAAUGAUAUGACAGCUUACUGAAUUAGGGAUCUCAAAAUGUUGACCUCAAAG
rnacentral:lncRNA from 10 species